rnacentral:rRNA from 1 species
CAAUAGCGUAUAUUAAAGUUGUUGCAGUUAAAAAGCUCGUAGUUGGAUUUGUAGCGUACGGUGGGUUCCGGGCACUUGUUGUCUGAGUAACUUGCUGUUGCCAUCCUUGGGUGGAACCUGUGUGGCAUUAGGUUGUCGUGCAGGGGAUGCCCAUCAUUUACUGUGAAAAAAUUAGAGUGUUCAAAGCAGGCUUAUGCCGUUGAAUAUAUUAGCAUGGAAUAAUGAGAUAGGACUUUUUUGCUAUUUUGUUGGUUUGCGCAAAGAGGUAAUGAUUAAUAGGGACAGUUGGGGGUAUUCGUAUUCCAUUGUCAGAGGUGAAAUUCUUGGAUUUUUGGAAGACGAACUACUGCGAAAGCAUUUACCAAGGAUGUUUUCAUUAA